AUUGAACGCUGGCGGCAUGCCUUACACAUGCAAGUCGAACGGCAGCACGGGAGCAAUCCUGGUGGCGAGUGGCGAACGGGUGAGUAAUAUAUCGGAACGUGCCCAGUAGUGGGGGAUAACUGCUCGAAAGAGCAGCUAAUACCGCAUACGACCUGAGGGUGAAAGCGGGGGAUCGCAAGACCUCGCGCUAUUGGAGCGGCCGAUAGCAGAUUAGCUAGUUGGUGGGGUAAAAGCUCACCAAGGCGACGACCUGUAGCUGGUCUGAGAGGACGACCAGCCACACUGGGACUGAGACACGGCCCAGACUCCUACGGGAGGCAGCAGUGGGGAAUUUUGGACAAUGGGCGCAAGCCUGAUCCAGCCAUGCCGCGUGCGGGAAGAAGGCCUUCGGGUUGUAAACCGCUUUUGUCAGGGAAGAAACGGCUCCUACUAAUACUGGGGGCUAAUGACGGUACCUGAAGAAUAAGCACCGGCUAACUACGUGCCAGCCGCCGCCGUAA
rnacentral:rRNA from 1 species